rnacentral:tRNA from 1 species
GCUGUGGCUUAGUUGGUCAAAGUGCCUGUCUAGUAAACAGGAGAUCCUGGGUUCAAAAGUGCCUUUUCCCAGUCAAGUG